UACGGAGGGUGCAAGCAUUAAUCGGAUUUAUUGGGCGUAAAGGGCGCGUAGGCGGAAAGAAAAGUCAGAUGUGAAAUCCCGGGGCUCAACCUCGGAACAGCAUUUGAAACUUUUUUUCUAGAGGGUAGGCGGAGAAAAACGGAAUUCCACAAGUAGCGGUGAAAUGCGUAGAUAUGUGGAAGAACACCGGUGGCGAAGGCGGUUUUCUAGCUUACUCCUGACGCUGAGGCGCGAAAGCAAGGGGAUCAAACAGG
rnacentral:rRNA from 1 species